rnacentral:rRNA from 1 species
AGCGAGCGAGAUGAACGGAAUACUUCGGUAGGAAGAGAUUGCGAGCGGCGGAUGGGUGAGUAACACGUAGGAAUCUACCCUUAAGCGGGGGAUAACACCUGGAAACAGGUGCUAAUACCGCAUAAAACUAAGGACGCCUGUUCAAAGUUAAAAGACGGUGAGAGCUGUCACUUAAGGAUGAGCCUGCGGCGUAUUAGCUAGUUGGCAAGGUAAGAGCUUACCAAGGCGAUGAUACGUAGCCGACCUGAGAGGGUAAUCGGCCACAUUGGGACUGAGACACGGCCCAAACUCCUACGGGAGGCAGCAGUAGGGAAUCUUCCACAAUGGACGCAAGUCUGAUGGAGCAACGCCGCGUGGAUGAAGAAGGUCUUCGGAUCGUAAAAUCCUGUUGUUGAAGAAGAACGUAUGUGAGAGUAACUGCUCAGAUAGUGACGGUAUUCAACCAGAAAGUCACGGCUAACUACGUG